AUUGAACGCUGGCGGCAGGCCUAACACAUGCAAGUCGAACGCGUGGCGGACGGGUGAGUAAUGUCUGGGACACCGCCUGAUGGAGGGGGAUCAACACUGGAAACGGUAGCCAAUACCGCAUACCUUCGUAUGUGCCCAGAUGGGAUUCGCUAGUAGGUGGGGUAACGGCUCACAUAGGCGACUACCCCUAGCUGGUCUGAGAGGAUGACCAGCCACACUGGAACUGAGACACGGUCCAGACUCCUACGGGAGGCAGCAGUGGGGAAUAUUGCACAAUGGGCGCAAGCCUGAUACAGCCAUGCCGCGUGUGUGAAGAAGGCCUUCGGGUUGUAAAGUACUUUCAGCGGGGAGGCGUUACCCGCAGAAGAAGCACCGGCUAACUCCGUGCCAGCAGCCGCGGUAAUAC
rnacentral:rRNA from 1 species